rnacentral:rRNA from 1 species
GUGCCAGCCGCCGCGGUAAUACGUAGGUGGCGAGCGUUGUCCGGAUUUAUUGGGUUUAAAGGGUGCGUAGGCGGCCAAGUAAGUCAGUGCUGAAAUAUCCCGGCUUAACUGGGAGGGUGGCAUUGAUACUGCGUGGCUAGAGUACAGAUGAGGUAGGCGGAAUUGACGGUGUAGCGGUGAAAUGCUUAGAUAUCGUCAAGAACACCUAUAGCGAAGGCAGCUUACUAGGCUGUAACUGACGCUGAGGCACGAAAGUGUGGGGAUCAAACAGGAUUAGAUACCCUUGUAGUCC